UCGGGAAUUUUGGGCAAUGGGCGAAAGCCUGACCCAGCAACGCCGCGUGUGUGAAGAAGGUCUUCGGAUUGUAAAGCACUUUAAGUUGGGAGGAAGGGCAGUAAAUUAAUACUUUGCUGUUUUGACGUUACCGACAGAAUAAGCACCGGCUAACUCUGUGCCAGCAGCCGCGGUAAUACAGAGGGUGCAAGCGUUAAUCGGAAUUACUGGGCGUAAAGCGCGCGUAGGUGGUUAGUUAAGUUGGAUGUGAAAUCCCCGGGCUCAACCUGGGAACUGCAUUCAAAACUGACUGACUAGAGUAUGGUAGAGGGUGGUGGAAUUUCCUGUGUAGCGGUGAAAUGCGUAGAUAUAGGAAGGAACACCAGUGGCGAAGGCGACCACCUGGACUGAUACUGACACUGAGGUGCGAAAGCGUGGGGAGCAAACAGGAUUAGAUACCCAAGUAGUCCCUGAGCGGGCUGGCAAGGCGCAU
rnacentral:rRNA from 1 species